rnacentral:rRNA from 1 species
GACGAACGCUGGCGGCGUGCUUAACACAUGCAAGUCGAACGGAAAGGCCCUGCUUUUGUGGGGUGCUCGAGUGGCGAACGGGUGAGUAACACGUGAGUAACCUGCCCUUGACUUUGGGAUAACUUCAGGAAACUGGGGCUAAUACCGGAUAGGAGCUCCUGCCGCAUGGUGGGGGUUGGAAAGUUUCGGCGGUUGGGGAUGGACUCGCGGCUUAUCAGCUUGUUGGUGGGGUAGUGGCUUACCAAGGCUUUGACGGGUAGCCGGCCUGAGAGGGUGACCGGCCACAUUGGGACUGAGAUACGGCCCAGACUCCUACGGGAGGCAGCAGUGGGGAAUAUUGCACAAUGGGCGGAAGCCUGAUGCAGCAACGCCGCGUGCGGGAUGACGGCCUUCGGGUUGUAAACCGCUUUCGCCUGUGACGAAGCGUGAGUGACGGUAAUGGGUAAAGAAGCACCGGCUAACUACGUGCCAGCAGCCGCGGUGAUACGUAGGGUGCGGGCGUUGUCCGGAUUUAUUGGGCGUAAAGGGCUCGUAGGUGGUUGAUCGCGUCGGAAGUGUAAUCUUGGGGCUUAACCCUGAGCGUGCUUUCGAUACGGGUUGACUUGAGGAAAGGUAGGGGAGAAUGGAAUUCCUGGUGGAGCGGUGGAAUGCGCAGAUAUCAGGAGGAACACCAGUGGCGAAGGCGGUUCUCUGGGCCUUUCCUGACGCUGAGGAGCGAAAGCGUGGGGAGCGAACAGGCUUAGAUACCCUGGUAGUCCACGCUGUAAACGGUGGGUACUAGGUGUGGGGUCCAUUCCACGGGUUCCGUGCCGUAGCUAACGCUUUAAGUACCCCGCCUGGGGAGUACGGCCGCAAGGCUAAAACUCAAAGGAACUGACGGGGCCCCGCACAAGCGGCGGAGCAUGCGGAUUAAUUCGAUGCAACGCGUAGAACCUUACCUGGGUUUGACAUGGAUCGGGAGCGCUCAGAGAUGGGUGUGCCUCUUUUGGGGUCGGUUCACAGGUGGUGCAUGGCUGUCGUCAGCUCGUGUCGUGAGAUGUUGGGUUAAGUCCCGCAACGAGCGCAACCCUUGUUCACUGUUGCCAGCACGUUAUGGUGGGGACUCAGUGGAGACCGCCGGGGUCAACUCGGAGGAAGGUGGGGAUGACGUCAAGUCAUCAUGCCCCUUAUGUCCAGGGCUUCACGCAUGCUACAAUGGCUGGUACAGAGAGUGGCGAGCCUGUGAGGGUGAGCGAAUCUCGGAAAGCCGGUCUCAGUUCGGAUUGGGGUCUGCAACUCGACCUCAUGAAGUCGGAGUCGCUAGUAAUCGCAGAUCAGCAACGCUGCGGUGAAUACGUUCCCGGG